CACAGCCCAAACCCUAGCUCACAUCAUACCCACCGCCAUCUUCCCCCAUCGCACCCCUCCUCCCAAUCUCCUCGCCGCCGCCGCCACCUUGUACCUCCCGAUCCAAUCUCUCCCCGCCGCCUCCCGAUCCUUCCGCCGCCACCCCGUCCUCCCCUUCCUUCCGCCCUCCACCUCUCCCCUCGCCUCCGCCACCCGACGGCCAUGGCGCGCCUCUUCCUCAUCCCAGAUCAGAUCCAGCGCCCCCCAACUGCAUCCAUCCGUCAGAGGCGCUGGAGGCGCACUGUGCGGUUCUACUGGGCGGCGACCCGACGGCGUCUGACGCAUCACGCGCCGAACCAUCAGUGCGGUUCUACUGGGCGGCGACCCGACGGCAUCCAGCGCGCUGCUCACCCGUCGGCCUCCAACGCCGACCAGGCGGCCGCUGAGGCCGCUCACACCGCCUCCGCGCGCUGCGCCUCUACUCGUCGCUCAAGUGGACGGUGGCGCAGGUGCUCAAGUCCUGCUGCGCCUACUCCAGCGGCGUCACCGCCGCCAUCCUCCUCUCUGACCUCUUCCAGGCUGGAUACAGGCAUGUGGACACAGCCACGGCCACAACUCUCCGGCAACCAAGACAGCGACAGCGUCGAUGGGAUCCUCGGACGACCUACGUCCUUCCCCGACCAUGCCCGCGACCUGCAUCCAGCUGCUCCUGCCCGGGCCCUCCUCAACUUCGCUCAUGGUGAGCUGCUGUAGGAAUGGGUGGUGCCAGCGGUGCUGGAUGCGGCAUGAGUGGUUUAGAUCAAGAUCUAAUGUCGUCAAGGUUGCUGUUGCUCUAACAGAAGAUCAAAAGAAGCCUGGAGAUGUGCACCAUCGUUUUAGUUGAUGGUGCCUGUGUAUUUGUUUUUUAUUGUAUAUGUACAGUUGUUGGAUCGUGCACACAUGUAUGUGCUGUUGUGAGUUUGUGGAUUUGAUCAUUUAAUUGAGAGAAUUA